GGCUCUUUGGAGACUAAAUAUAAAGAGUCGGACCUGCCCAGUGAAAACAUUUUAACGGCCGCGGUACUCUGACCGUGCAAAGGUAGCAUAAUCACUUGCCUUAUAAUUGAAGGCUGGUAUGAACGGUUUGACGAGGGUAUAACUGUCUCUUUACUACUUACUAGAAUUUGACCUAUAGGUGAAGAGGCCUAUAUUUUAACUGGAGGACGAGAAGACCCUGUCGAGCUUUAGAAGAAAAUGGAAGAAGAUAUAAAGUUAAAUAAAACACCAUUGUUAUUCAUUGGUUGGGGCGACCAGAGAACAAGAAAAGCUUCUCUUAUUUAUUAAAUUUAUAAAUGGAGAUCCAGCAAAGCUGAUUAAAAGAAUUAGUUACCGCAGGGAUAACAGCAUAAUCUUCUUUGAGAGACCAAAUCGAAAAGAGGGGUUGUGACCUCGAUGUUGGACUAGGAUAUCCUAAAGGUGCAGAAGCCUUUAAUGGUUGGUCUGUUCGACCAUUAAAAUCCUACA
rnacentral:rRNA from 1 species